rnacentral:tRNA from 1 species
AGCGGGUAGGCUUCAUGGCGAAGAAGCAGUUUAGAAAACUGUCCCACUGGUUAGUAGCCGGUGAGGGUUCGAUUCCUUUACCCGCUG